rnacentral:rRNA from 1 species
AGUGAACGCUGGCGGUAGGCCUAACACAUGCAAGUCGAACGGCAGCACAGUAAGAGCUUGCUCUUACGGGUGGCGAGUGGCGGACGGGUGAGGAAUACAUCGGAAUCUACUUUUUCGUGGGGGAUAACGUAGGGAAACUUACGCUAAUACCGCAUACGACCUACGGGUGAAAGCAGGGGAUCUUCGGACCUUGCGCGAUUGAAUGAGCCGAUGUCGGAUUAGCUAGUUGGCGGGGUAAAGGCCCACCAAGGGGACGAUCCGUAGCUGGUCUGAGAGGAUGAUCCGCCCCGAGGGAGUUAGGGGACGGACUGGACUCGAAAGGGAGGCCGCAGUGGGGAAUGUUGGAGAAGGGGGGAAUGCUUGACCAGGCCAGACAGCGUGGGGGAAGAAGGCCGUGGGGGGGUAAAGCCCUUUUGUUGGGAAAAAAAAGCAGCAGGUUAAUACCCCGUUGUUCUGGCGAAACGCAAAAAAUGAGCACGCGCUAACUGUG